rnacentral:sRNA from 1 species
AUAUGCCUGCGGUAUGCGUGAUAUGGAUUGCAUAAAAGCCAUUCACUAUGAAGGGAAUCGAGCCAUGGGUAGCAUGCGUGCCGACUUGUUUCGGAUACAUAAAGCCCACAAGGUAGAUACCCACCUGCAAAACGGCUUUGUAAAAAGUCAAACAUACACGGUACUCGCGGGCCAUUA